UGGGGAAUAUUGCUCAAUGGGCGAAAGCCUGAAGCAGCAACGCCGCGUGGGGGAUGAAGGUUUUCGGAUUGUAAACCCCUUUCGACCGUAACGAAUCUCCUCCUGGUAAAUAAUCAGGAGGAUCGACGGUACCGGGAGAAGAAGCCACGGCUAAUUCUGUGCCAGCAGCCGCGGUAAGACAGAGGUGGCUAGCGUUGUUCGGAUUUACUGGGCGUAAAGCGCACGCAGGCGGUUUGGUAAGUCAGAGGUGAAAUUCCGCAGCUUAACUGCGGAACUGCCUUUGAUACUGCCUUUCUCGAGUGCAUGAGGGGGAAGCGGAAUUCCGAGUGUAGAGGUGAAAUUCGUAGAUAUUCGGAGGAACACCGGUGGCGAAGGCGGCUUCCUGGCAUGUAACUGACGCUCAUGUGCGAAAGCGUGGGGAGCAAACAGGAUUAGAUACCCUGGUAGUCCACGCCCUAAACGAUGGGCAC
rnacentral:rRNA from 1 species